CGCUCUUUGUGCAGCCGGAGAGGCGGCGGGGGAAGAGGACGAGGAGGAAGAAGGUGCACCGGGAGCGGCGGUGGCAGCCCGGUGUCCGCCGCGUCCCCACGUGCAGGCUCCUCUGUGUUGCUCUCUGAAAGCAUUUCAAGCUUGACACACAGAAGCUGUUUCUCCGUGAGCAGCUGUGGGGCAUUUGGCUGAUGGCUUUGACAGCAGAGAUGAAUUGAGGACGUGGCAUCUGCAGUCCUGACCUGGAAUUUGAACCCUUUAGUGCCUCUCCCUCCUCCCAGACUGGAGAGGAGGCAGAAGAUCUCAGAAUCUUCUGAUUGCCAUUGAUCUGAUUUUACUGAGCACUGGCCUCGUAUCACGUCUGUGUGUUCCUUGAGAGAUGAUUUCAAUC